UAGUGAGGCUUCCCAGCUCCUUUAACAUAUCGAUAUCAUCAUUUUCCAGUUCAGCCAUCCAUUUGGGAGGCGAGCUUGUAAUAGGGCUUUUGAAGGAGGCGGCGAACUCGGCGACGCCGGGCAGCUGCUCAGGCCACAGGUCCGGAGAAGCGCGGUCAAGCUUCUCGAAACUCAGCAGUGAGGCUUCCAGAUCGGCACCGUCGCCGGGAGCGGCCAUCUUGCGCGUGUCACGUGACCUGAAACCGC
rnacentral:lncRNA from 1 species